rnacentral:rRNA from 1 species
ACACCUGUGCCAAGUCGAACGAUGAAAGCCUUUCGGGGUGGAUUAGUGGCGAACGGGUGAGUAACACGUGGGCAAUCUGCCCUUCACUCUGGGACAAGCCCUGGAAACGGGGUCUAAUACCGGAUAACACUCUGUCCUGCAUGGGACGGGGUUAAAAGCUCCGGCGGUGAAGGAUGAGCCCGCGGCCUAUCAUCUUGUUGGUGGGGUAAUGGCCUACCAAGGCGACAACGGGUAGCCGGCCUGAGAGGGCGACCGGCCACACUGGGACUGAAACACGGCCCAAACUCCUACGGGAGGCAGCAGUGGGGAAUAUUGCACAAUGGGCGAAAGCCUGAUGCACCGACCCCGCGUGAGGGAUGACGGCCUUCGGGUUGUAAACCUCUUUCAGCAGGGAAAAAGCGAAAGUGACGGUACCUGCAAAAGAAGCGCCGGCUAACUACGUGCCAGCAGCCGCGGUAAUACGUAGGGCGCAAGCGUUGUCCGGAAUUAUUGGGCGUAAAGAGCUCGUAGGCGGCUUGUCACGUCGGAUGUGAAAGCCCGGGGCUUAACCCCGGGUCUGCAUUCGAUACGGGCUAGCUAGAGUGUGGUAGGGGAGAUCGGAAUUCCUGGUGUAGCGGUGAAAUGCGCAAAUAUCAGGAGGAACACCGGUGGCGAAGGCGGAUCUCUGGGCCAUUACUGACGCUGAGGAGCGAAAGCGUGGGGAGCGAACAGGAUUAGAUACCCUGGUAGUCCACGCCGUAAACGUUGGGAACUAGGUGUUGGCGACAUUCCACGUCGUCGGUGCCGCAGCUAACGCAUUAAGUUCCCCGCCUGGGGAGUACGGCCGCAAGGCUAAAACUCAAAGGAAUUGACGGGGGCCCGCACAAGCAGCGGAGCAUGUGACUUAAUUCGACGCAACGCGAAGAACCUUACCAAGGCUUGACAUAUACCGGAAAGCAUCAGAGAUGGUGCCCCCCUUGUGUCGGUAUACAGUGGUGCAUGGCCUGUCGUCAGCUCGUGUCGUGAGAUGUGGGUAAGUCCCGCAACGAGCGCAACCCUUGUCUGUGUUGCCAGCAUGCCCUUCCGGGUGAUGGGACUUCACAGGAAACUGCCGGUCACUCGGAGAAGUGGGACGACGUCAGUCAUCAUGGCCCUAUGCUUGGCUGCAACGGCUACAUGGCGGUACAUUGAACUGCAUGCCGAGCGAGCAUCUCAAAGCGGUCAGUCGAAUGUCGCACUCGACCAUGAUCGAAUUGUCGUGAAUCCUAAUAAUUACCAAAUUGCUGUCCG